GCCAGGUGUCUCAGAAGGGGCGCGGGUUCGAAUCCCGCAGGGCUCAUUUAACCAAUUUCCACUGUUAAAUCACCAAACAGUACCGGAAGUCCCCGGGUUCGGAGGCAUUCGGGCGCUAAUUCUCACUGAUCUUGUGGGGCUAGAACCCCCCGGGUGCUUCAAGUUAGAUCAGUACUAGAUAGGUAUAGUGGGGUGGUGGUGGCAUGGUGGGUGGAGCAACCUGCGGGAUAGUGAAUUAUUGUCAAGCUUAACCAGCCAGGGAUUCAUUGCACUGCCCCAUUCAGCCCCACUAAUCUAUCUAGGCACCUCUAAAUUCCAGGGAAUAGAUUUAAAAACUAUCUGAUUAGGA
rnacentral:sRNA from 1 species